GGUACACUUAUUGUGAACAAAGUUAUGGUAUAUUUAGUAUGUGCAGUGAACUUGGUGCUGGUGAUUUUAGCAAGAACAAUUUUCUGAGAAAAUAUUGUAUUGUUAUAUAUAUAUAUAUGUGAGCCUUAAAUUAUUAAGAGCUGUAGAUACUUUUUCUUUACAAGAUACUUUAUUAAACUUAAUGUUUCAGAAUCUCGAAUUAGUAUUUCUCAUUUAGAAUGACAAAGAAGAUGAUCAGCUGAUAUCAUGUGAGGUUUAGCACUACAGAAGCAGAUUUUGGAAAAAAACAAAAACAAAACCGAACCCCAAAGACAGAAAUAUUAUUUGAACACAAUGCAUGUAGAUUAUAUUCCAAAUUAAUUUAAUGUAUCUUAUAUUUUAUACAGUGAUCUGCUUUCCAUUAUAUGAAGAGAGCACUUGCAUAUUUUCAAGAUUAAUAUUAAGCAUAUUGCAGCUGAAGUGCAUACAUCAUAUUGCCCUUCUGUUCUAGUGUGUGUCAUAUACGGUAUAAGAAACAGAAUUUUCCACUUCCCUCAGUUCUAUUAAACUACUUGUAUGGUCAAUGUGCAUAAUCUAAAAAAGACUGUUGUAAGAGAUGCUCUAUUUUUCAUUCUUAACCUUACUGGAGUUCAAGACUAUGAAGAGAUUACCAAGGAUUGAAUAAGGAAGGACUAAAAUGAAAAUAAUGUUCUACAGUAGCAACAAUAGCGUGGCUCUAUCCUGUAAACCAACAAGACUAUUGUCUACACAUUCAUAAUGAAUCCCUAAAGGAUAAUUUAAACAUGUACAAAACAGCUGCAGUCCAAGCAAAUUAAAUGACUGGAAGGGACACAAAUCUGGCACCUGAGAAGAUGUCCAUCAACACAAAAGGAUAUCUUCUGAGGACAUUUCCACAGAUGAUUUAAUGAGGAGUUGAACUAUUACAGACCUUAUAGUACAACAAAUAUGUCAACCAAGAAGGAUUUCGUUCCAGGCCUGCACAGCACCACAUGGUUCUGAUGACCUCAUCUCUUGUAUCCCAAGCAACUAUUUAUAUUCAUCCCAAUCCUAUACUAUCUCCUUUUUUACACUAUCCCAACAUCUAUUUCUGUUGGCUUUCCACUACAGAAAUAGAAGGAACGGAAAAGUCAAAUGUGCCAGUGACAAUCGAUGGCAAAUUCCUUGGUAAAUAAAUGUAAUACCUUUUAUGUUAUAUCUUUAUUUAUUUAUUUUUAUUAGAUGAUAUAAAUAGGAUGAUAUUGAUUUAUUUAUAUAUAUAUAUUUGGAGAGAAGAAUUUUGUCUAGAAAAUGCAACUCAGAAUGACUCAGGAUUUACAGUUUACAUCAAACAAAAUGCUAUAAGAUGUAAAACCAAAAAACAAAAAAAAACUGUCUAAUUAGUUUCUUUUAUAGUUAUUAAAGCAAUUUUCUGUUUCUGAA